rnacentral:rRNA from 1 species
GUACACGCUGUGACUAGCAUAUCAAUAAGCGGAGGAAAAGAAACUAACAAGGAUUCCCCUAGUAACGGCGAGUGAAGCGGGAAGAGCUCAAAUUUGAAAUCUUAAAGGGUUUCCCUUUACGAAUUGUAGUUUAAAGAAGUGUUUUCUGUUGAGGUUUUGGUAAAAGUUCUUUGGAAUAGGACAUCAUAGAGGGUGAGAAUCCCGUAUUUGACCUUUACUUUCAACUUUGUGAUACACUUUCAAAGAGUCGGAUUGUUUGGGAAUGCAGUCCAAAAUGGGUGGUAAAUUUCAUCUAAAGCUAAAUAUUGGCGAGAGACCGAUAGCGAACAAGUACCGUGAGGGAAAGAUGAAAAGAACUUUGAAAAGAGAGUUAAACAGUACGUGAAAUUGUCAAAAGGGAAGCGUUUGACACCAGUGUUGUUUUUCUGAAAAUCAAUUAAAGAACUGUUUAUGCUAAGUUGUUUAGACUUUAUCAGCUAACUGUUUAGUUUUGAGCUUUUCUUUAAUGCACUUUUCAGUUAACAAGUCAACAUCAAUUUCUUUUGCUGUAAAAAAGCUUGAGGAAGGUGGCUUGAGAUUCGUCUUAAGUGUUUAUAGCCUCUUGCCUAUGCAGUCGGAGAGAUUGAGGUCUGCAGCGUAGAUCCUUCGGGGCUAAAUGCAUUUGUGCUAAGUUAUAGCAUUUUAUAGACAACUUGUUGACUAUGAUUUGUCUUGUAGCUUACUCGCUUAUGUUAUUUUACCUACGCUUAGGAUGUUGAAGAUGUAGCACAUCAU